AGAGUUUGAUCCUGGCUCAGGACGAACGCUGGCGGCGUGCUUAACACAUGCAAGUCAAGGGGGCCCAGCAAUGGGCAACCGGCGAACGGGUGCGUAACACGUGAGCAACCUACCGAACUGUGGGGGAUAGCCGGCCUAACGGCCGAGUAAUACCGCAUACGCUUUCAGUGAGGCAUUUCAUUGAAAGGAAACCUACGGGACAGAUCGAGGGGCUCGCGGCCUAUCAGCUAGUUGGCGAGGUAACGGCUCACCAAGGCGACGACGGGUAGCUGGUCUGAGAGGAUGGCCAGCCACAUUGGGACUGAGAUACGGCCCAGACUCCUACGGGAGGCAGCAGUGGGGAAUCUUGCGCAAUGGCCUAACGGCUGACGCAGCGACGCCGCGUGUGGGAUGAAGCUCCUCGGAGUGUAAACCACUGUUGCCCGGGACGAAUAGCUCGAUUAAUCGAGCCUGACGGUACCGGGUGAGGAAGCACCGGCUAACUCCGUGCCAGCAGCCGCGGUAAUACGGGGGGUGCGAGCGUUGUCCGGAAUCACUGGGCGUAAAGGGCGCGUAGGUGGUUUGAUAAGGGUGUGGUGAAAGUCCGGGGCUCAACCCCGGAUCUGCCGUGCCGACUGUCAAACUCGAGGGCUGUAGAGGCAGACGGAAUUCCGGGUGUAGCGGUGGAAUGCGUAGAGAUCCGGAGGAAGACCGGUGGCGAAGGCGGUCUGCUGGGCAGUUUCUGACACUGAUGCGCGACAGCGUGGGGAGCAAACAGGAUUAGAUACCCUGGUAGUCC
rnacentral:rRNA from 1 species